AGCGAGUGAAGCGGGAAAAGCUCAAAUUUAAAAUCUGGUGGUCUUUGGCCAUCCGAGUUGUAAUCUAGAGAAGUGUUACCCGUGUCGGACCGUGUACAAGUCUCCUGGAAUGGAGCGUCAUAGAGGGUGAGAAUCCCGUCUUUGACACGGACUACCGAGGCUUUGUGGUGCGCUCUCAAAGAGUCGAGUUGUUUGGGAAUGCAGCUCAAAAUGGGUGGUAAAUUCCAUCUAAAGCUAAAUAUUGGCGAGAGACCGAUAGCGAACAAGUACCGUGAGGGAAAGAUGAAAAGAACUUUGGAAAGAGAGUUAAACAGUACGUGAAAUUGCUGAAAGGGAAACGCUUGAAGUCAGUCGCGUUAGCUGGAAAUCAGCCUUGCUUUUGCUGGGUGUACUUUCUGGUUGACGGGCCAGCAUCAGUUUUGACCGGUGGAAAAAGUCUGGAGGAAUGUGGCAUCUUCGGAUGUGUUAUAGCCUUUGGUCGUAUGCAUCGAUUGGGACUGAGGAACUCAGCACUUGUGCUUAGGAUGCUGGCAUAAUGGCUUUAAUCGACCCGUCUG
rnacentral:rRNA from 1 species